UUUUUUUUUUUGAUAUCGAGGAACCUCUACAAGGCAGGGCCCUUCGGACCCACCCCUGCAGAGUAAACCCCGGCCCCGUGCACCGCACCCUCGGAAGUUUCCCUACACGGAACAGGGUAAGUCACUGGCUAUUCACCAGAGGGGUGUGGCCCCAAGGAGGAGGUAGCACCUGGUGGGUUUCGAACCUGAGACCACUGAGGAGCAAACUCAGAGCCCCAGGCUUUACUCCCUAACCACCAAACUCGUCCACUCAAAGAUCUAGCACGGAACUCGAGUCUAAAGCCAAAAAUUACAGAAGCCUUGUUUAUCUUCAAAAUCUCGUAUGGCUUGGUUCAAUGAUUCCGAUACAGAGAUUCCACUUUUCAUUGUUCACUCUCACAAUGACUUGGUUCAUAAGCCUAAUCCGAGUCUCCAGCAUCAAACCCAGAAACAGAGCGCUGAACCCAUUUUCAGCACAUGAAGGGCCUCCACACCAAGCUCUAUGAAUCGUAUGCAUGUCUCCUCGGAACCACAUGGUGUUCACGCCACUCCUGGCCUCCACCUACGUGGGGACCCUGGAGACUGAAGUUCAGGUCCAUCGCCGAACCAACUAGCUCGCAGGAUCCAACCCACCAUAUGUCUCGCGAACCCAGGCAAACGAGAUAUUAUUUUCCUUUGAUGAUCGCCUCAGGCACUAUGCUACUAAACAGUUGACAAGGGUAAGAGAUGCAUGAUCAAUGGGAAGAGCUUGUUUGUCUCUAUCUUAAAAAUGCCAUCGUGGACUAUGUAUUGCAUAUUCUCAAAUUAAAAGUUUGUCUAAUCUUUGUUGUGGAAGAUUAUGUUUAACUCUUUGGAAGUUCCAAAAUCUCCAGGUGGAAGGUUAGUUACUAGUUCUUUUUGGUUCAUGACAAUGCAUUUCUACAUCAUUCUCAGUCCCAUAUGAGGUCUCUCUAACUCUUGGGACGAUUGGCUGGGAAAUUCUGGAAAUCUUUUUGUAGGUUCUUAGGAAAGACACAGUUUUGCUUUCGUUUUCCCUGACACCAUAUUAUAAUGCCUUCAAGCAUCAAAUCAAAUUGGAUUUCAGUAUUAGUAUUCAGGAUGUGUUUGCCACUGCUGAUUGCGGUGGGUUUCUUGAAAGUACUAGAAAACCAACCCUUCCAGCUUUGGCUCAGUGUUGAUUUCCCAAGAUGCUUGUUCGGCCAGAUGGCAAUCCUAAUAUGAGAUUUCCUAUCAUGAUUGAAAUAGUGAUCUGGAUUUUGAGUGGCCAUGGUAUUUGCAUAACUAAAUAUGCUAUUAUGUUUCUCUUUGGCUGGCAAUUUUGGUAUUGGCUCUUUAAUAUGCCUCCUUUUGAGUUUUCAAGGUUGCAAAGCGGCAGGGGAAAUAUCUAUCACAUCGAUUAGAGCUGGUGGAGGUCAUGCCAAUGGAGCAAAUGACAUGGAACUGGGAGAUCCAUUUCUUUACAAGCAUCUAGGAAGCAUGGCAGCCAUUGGCUCUCGUAGAUCUUAGGUAGAGCAAGGAGUCUAUGCCUACAUUUCUUCUCCCUCCCUGUUCCUGAUUGUUGGAUGACUGGUUUGCGGAGUCUAUAUGCUAGUGCAGUUUGGCAAAUGACUUUGCCGCCAAAUCUCCAUGGUGUGAAUCCUGUCUACGAUGAAUACCCAUGAUUGUUUAUAGAACCAUGCAAGUGAAUUCUUUUCGUUCCACUUCAGAGCUCCAACACCUGAGAUUUUGGGGAGAGCAUUUUCAGAGAGGACAGCCAUUGAUUGGACUGGUGAACCGGCAUUGCAGACUGCAUAACCUUAACUGAUACAUGUUUUUGUAUUAUGUGUUUGGUUUUUCGGUAAACAACAAGUAUGAAUUAAUUAAUUUUGCUAGAGAAAUGAACUACUAGCCUUUAUGGAUGACAAAUUGAAAUAAUUUCCCUAGCAGAAAAUCCAA